rnacentral:rRNA from 1 species
UGAAUGGAAGGGCCAUCGCUCAACGGAUAAAAGGUACUCCGGGGAUAACAGGCUGAUACCGCCCAAGAGUUCAUAUCGACGGCGGUGUUUGGCACCUCGAUGUCGGCUCAUCACAUCCUGGGGCUGAAGUAGGUCCCAAGGGUAUGGCUGUUCGCCAUUUAAAGUGGUACGCGAGCUGGGUUUAGAACGUCGUGAGACAGUUCGGUCCCUAUCUGCCGUGGGCGCUGGAGAACUGAGGGGGGCUGCUCCUAGUACGAGAGGACCGGAGUGGACGCAUCACUGGUGUUCGGGUUGUCAUGCCAAUGGCACUGCCCGGUAGCUAAAUGCGGAAGAGAUAAGUGCUGAAAGCAUCUAAGCACGAAACUUGCCCCGAGAUGAGUUCUCCCUGACCCUUUAAGGGUCCUGAAGGA